rnacentral:tRNA from 1 species
AUUUAUAAAGGUUGUAAUCCUUUUCUUUUUA